rnacentral:lncRNA from 10 species
CGAGGGUCUAACUUGCGCUUCAUGUUAUGGUACUGCUGUGACUCCGAUGGUAGCAGAUUCAUCAUUGGAUUUCCAAACCUCUCACCCAGGACUCCAAGUGCACCCCUUUGAAGACUUUGUCUUCACUCCUGAAUGAUUGAUUGGGGAUCCAUUGGUCAUCAGCUAUUCUUAGUGUUAGUGUAUUUUAUGUGUGGCCUAAGACAAUUCUUCUUCCAAUGUGGACCAGGG